UUUGAGAGUUUGAUCCUGGCUCAGAUUGAACGCUGGCGGCAGGCCUAACACAUGCAAGUCGAGCGGUAGCACAGAGAGCUUGCUCUCGGGUGACGAGCGGCGGACGGGUGAGUAAUGUCUGGGAAACUGCCUGAUGGAGGGGGAUAACUACUGGAAACGGUAGCUAAUACCGCAUAACGUCGCAAGACCAAAGAGGGGGACCUUCGGGCCUCUUGCCAUCAGAUGUGCCCAGAUGGGAUUAGCUAGUAGGUGGGGUAAUGGCUCACCUAGGCGACGAUCCCUAGCUGGUCUGAGAGGAUGACCAGCCACACUGGAACUGAGACACGGUCCAGACUCCUACGGGAGGCAGCAGUGGGGAAUAUUGCACAAUGGGCGCAAGCCUGAUGCAGCCAUGCCGCGUGUAUGAAGAAGGCCUUCGGGUUGUAAAGUACUUUCAGCGAGGAGGAAGGCAUUGUGGUUAAUAACCACAGUGAUUGACGUUACUCGCAGAGAGCCCGG
rnacentral:rRNA from 1 species